UAGAGUUUGAUCCUGGCUCAGAUUGAACGCUGGCGGCAUGCCUAACACAUGCAAGUCGAACGGCAGCACAGGUAGCAAUACCGGGUGGCGAGUGGCGGACGGNNGAGGAAUACAUCGGGACCUGCCCAGACGUGGGGGAUAACGUAGGGAAACUUACGCUAAUACCGCAUACGUCCUACGGGAGAAAGCGGGGGAUCUUCGGACCUCGCGCGGUUGGAUGGACCGAUGUUCGAUUAGCUAGUUGGUGAGGUAAUGGCUCACCAAGGCGACGAUCGAUAGCUGGUCUGAGAGGAUGAUCAGCCACACUGGGACUGAGACACGGCCCAGACUCCUACGGGAGGCAGCAGUGGGGAAUAUUGGACAAUGGGCGCAAGCCUGAUCCAGCAAUGCCGCGUGUGUGAAGAAGGCCUUCGGGUUGUAAAGCACUUUUAUCAGGAGCGAAAUACUACGGGUUAAUACCUCGUGGGGCUGACGGUACCUGAGGAAUAAGCACCGGCUAACUUCGUGCCAGCAGCCGCGGUAAUACGAAGGGUGCAAGCGUUAAUCGGAAUUACUGGGCGUAAAGCGUGCGU
rnacentral:rRNA from 1 species